AGCCCUCCCGUGUGAGUCCAUCCUCUGUGUCCACACCAUGGGGUCUGCACUCCUCUGGGCUUCCCUCCUCAUCACUGUCAAAGGUGUCCUGAGAGAAGUUCAGCUGGUGGAGUCUGAGGGAGGCUUGGUGCAACCCGGAGGGUCUCUCAGCCUGUCCUGCAAAGACUCUGGAUUCACCUUCCCUAACUACAGCAUGCACUGGGUCCGCCAGGCUCCAGGGAAGGGGCUGGAGUGGGUGGCAGAAGUUAGUCAACCAUCUGGAACAAAGCAGUGGUAUGCUCCAUCAGUUCAGGGAAGAUUCACCAUCUCCAGAGACGACCCUACCAACACAGUCUCUCUUAAAAUGACCAACCUGAAAACAGAGGACACGGCCGUGUAUUACUGUACCAGAGGCACAGUGAGGGGAAGUCAGGGUGAGCCCAGGCCUAAACCUCCCUGGAGACAAGACGGCUGGGCUGCAGGGGACUCUCUAGACACCAGGGGGCAAUGCGGGUACAUUGAGCACAGUCAUCAGCCUGGGAGCAGCUGCAGAUGCAGUUUAAGGGCUGCUUUCCUGGCAGCAGUGGCCAUCAUGCAGAGGUAG